GGAGGCAAAAGGUUAACACUUAACAGACAAAGUAGAGAAAGAAAAGGAGGCGCCAGAAAAGGAAGGAACUUGUAGCUGCUGCUGCUGCUGCUGCGAUUACCUCCGCCACCGUCUGCUGCUGCGAUUACCUCCUCCACCGUCUCUUUAACCACCAUAAAAAAACUACCUCCACCUUCAUCACCAUCUCUUUCACAAAUAGAACCCAUUUUUUCAUCCAAAACAAACAGAACUCAUUCCAUCAAAUCAACACUAACACCUCCACCAU
rnacentral:lncRNA from 1 species